rnacentral:rRNA from 1 species
UACGUAGGGUGCGAGCGUUAAUCGGAAUUACUGGGCGUAAAGCGUGCGCAGGCGGCUUUGCAAGACAGAUGUGAAAUCCCCGGGCUCAACCUGGGAACUGCAUUUGUGACUGCAAGGCUAGAGUACGGCAGAGGGGGAUGGAAUUCCGCGUGUAGCAGUGAAAUGCGUAGAUAUGCGGAGGAACACCAGUGGCGAAGGCGAUCACCUGGGGUUGUUCUGACGCUGAGGAGCGAAAGCUAGGGGAGCAAACGGG